UAUUUUCAAAAUUUACAUGGAAAGUGAUCAAAGUUUUUGUUUUAUUAUAUGCAAUAUUGGGUUCAAUGUUCAUCUUCUGAAAACUCAGGUACAAUGAAAAUCCCCCGCUAUUGUGUAUAUUUUUGGUUACAAAGACUGUUUGAGCUAUGCCAAAAUUUGUCAUAAAUGUUGUAAUUAUAAGCAACUUAUAAAUACGUUACACACUUAUUUUAGGGUACGUGCCGAUCAAGGGGUGGAAAAUGUGGACGUGGCACGACUUGUGUUUAUGAUUCGUGGAACAGGAAGAAGCAGUUUCAUAUCUGGGAAGAGUGUGCACAAUCAAAGGAUUGAGCGACUGUGGAGAGAUCUGUGGACGGCUGUGACGUGCAUCUAUUAUGAUGUGCUGCACUACCUAGAAGAAGAGGGAUACCUGGACAUUUCCAAUGAAGCCCAACUCUUCUGUUGCCACUAUGUCUUCCUGCCACGUCUGCAAGAUUUGGAUACUUUCCGCAGUGGCUGGGACAAUCACCCACUUCGGACUGAAAGCAACAUGACACCUAACCAGCUCUGGGUUCUUGGUCAUACACAUAAUCCAAUUCCUGAACCUCAUGGUGCCUUGACAGAGGGUGUACAGAUUCCCGAAAUCGAAUGGGAGGACAGCGGGCUUCCUCUUCACGAGGAGUCAAAUGUCACAGUACCAAACUCUAAUUUGCAACUGACUGACGAACAAAUGGCAGCUUUAAGAAAUGCAGUAAACCCAAAAUCCACAUCACUGUCUUUUGGAUGUGACAUUUAUAUUGCUGCAGUUCAGUUUUGUGAGCAGUUUUUUACUGUGUGAAAGUUAUCUUACAGGAAAAACACAUCACGGUUAUGAUUAGUUACUUAUAUACAAUCAUAUGUUAAAUAUGGUAAGCAUAAUUUACUUGGUUAUUAUUAUUCACUGAAGUUUAACUUGUACAUAAUUGCAAAAAAUGACAAAAUAAAUGCAAAGCAUGAUUUAUUUUGAAGAAUACUUAACAGGAUCUAGUUUUGUCUUUUUGCCACUAUCUUGGCUUCUGUUGAUUUUGAUUGCUCGGUUCUAAACAGCCCUUUGCCGUUAUUCAGCUAUUGUAUUGUUCAAUAAAAAUCUGAAAAUAAAAUGUUCAGCAAAUACA